rnacentral:misc_RNA from 1 species
UUAAGUUCAGCGGGUAGUCCUACCUGAUUUGAGAUCAAACGUCCAAAGAGCUGUCUCCACUGAGGAGAGACAUUUAUGAGCCCCGGCGAACCUCCAUCACUGAAGGUUAUCUGGCAGAAAACCACAGGCGUAGAUAGUUAUCACACCCGUGAUGCCACCAAACACCGGAAAGCUGAUCCAUUUGAGAGGAGCCGACCGAA